rnacentral:tRNA from 1 species
CCUCCCGAACGCUUUAGCAGAUGAGCAGCGGUUUCUUAAGCCGCGGAAGCAGGCGCGAUUCCUGCCGGGAGGACCA